rnacentral:lncRNA from 1 species
AUUUACUUUACAAUCAAAUCUUUUCAAAAUGGCGACUUUGUAGUUUAACAGUGUAAAAAAAACUAAAUUUAUUCAAAUUUUGAUAGCAAAUACUUUAAAUUAUUUAGAUCAAGGUCAGCAUCUUUAAUCUUGAAUUUAAAAGUUCCAUUCUUAAAUUGUAAAGAUUGUUCAAUUUUCACCGUUUAUUUUGAUAUGAUUUACUUAUUAAGUAAACAAUAUAAAAAAAUAAAAAUUUUAUUCCUAAAAAUUUCAUAUAC